GAUGAACGCUGGCGGCGUGCCUAAUACAUGCAGGUCGAGCGAACGGACGAGAAGCUUGCUUCUCGGAUGUUAGCGGCGGACGGGUGAGUAACACGUGGAUAACCUACCUAUAAGACUGGGAUAACUUCGGGAAACGGGAGCUAAUACCGGAGAAUAUUUUGAACCGCAUGGUUCAAAAGUGAAAGACGGUCUUGCGGUCACUUAUAGAUGGAUCCGCGCUGCAUUAGCUAGUUGGUAAGGUAACGGCUUACCAAGGCAACGAUGCAUAGCCGACCUGAGAGGCUGAUCGGCCCCACUGGAACUGAGCCACGGUCCAGACUCCUACGGGAGGCAGCAGUAGGGAAUCUUCCGCAAUGGGCGAAAGCCUGACGGAGCAACGCCGCGUGAGUGAUGAAGGUCUUCGGAUCGUAAAACUCUGUUAUUAGGGAAGAACAUAUGUGUAAGUAACUGUGCACAUCUUGACGGUACCUAAUCAGAAAGCCCCGGCUAACUACGUG
rnacentral:rRNA from 1 species